GUACUCCCCUCCCGGAAGCUAGGAUACCAAGGGAUCCCCGUCCCGGGAAGCCAGGCUACCACAGGACUCCCUUCCCGGAAACAGGGCUACCACAGGACUCCAUUCCAAGAAGCUAGGCUACCAAAGUACUCCCUCCCCGGAAGCUAGGAUACCAAGGGAUCCCCUUCCCAGAAGCCAGGCUACCACAGGACUCCCUUCUCGGAAACCAGGCUACCAAAGGACUCCAUUCCCAGAAGUUAGGCUACCAAAGUACUCCCUUCCGGGAAGCUAGGAUACCAAGGGAUCCCAUUCGCAAAAGCCAGGCUACCACAGGACUUUCUUCCCGGAUACCAGGCUACCAAAGGACUCCAUUCCCGGAAGCUAGGCUACCAAAGUACUCCCUUCCCGGAAGCUAGGAUACCAAGGGAUCCCCUUGCCGGAAGCCAGGCUACCGCAGGACUACCUUCCCGGAGACUAGGCUACCAAAGGACUCCAUUCCCGGAAGCUAGGCUCCCAAAGUACUCCCUUCCCGGAGGCUAGGAUACCAAGGGAUCCCCUUCCCAGAAGCCGGGCAACCACAGGACUCCCUUCUCGGAAACCAGGCUACCAAAGGACUCUAUUCCCAGAAGUUAGGCUACCAAAGUACUCCCUUCCGGGAAGCUAGUAUACCAAGGGGUCCCCUCCCGGAAGCCAGGCUACCACAGGACUCCCUUCCCGGAAACCAGGCUAUCAAAGGACUCCAUUCCCAGAAGCUAGGCUACCAAAGUACUCCCUCCCCGGAAGCUAGGAUACCAAGGGAUCCCCUUCCCAGAAGCCAGGCUACCACAGGACUCCCUUCUCGGAAACCAGGCUACCAAAGGACUCCAUUCCCAGAAGUUAGGCUACCAAAGUACUCCCUUCCCGGAAGCUAGUAUACCAAGGGGUCCCCUCCAGGAAGCCAGGCUACCACAGGACUCCCUUCCCGGAAACCAGGCUACCAAAGGAUUCCAUUCCCGGAAGCUAGGCUACCAAAGUACUCCCUUCCCGGAAGCUAGGAUACCAAGGGAUCCCCUUCACAAAAGCCAGGCUACCACAGGACUCCCUCCCCGGAUACCAGGCUACCAAAGGACUCCAUUCCCGGAAGCUAGGCUACCAUAGUACUCCCUUCCCGGGAGGUAGGAUACCAAGGGAUCCCCUUCCCGGAAGCCAGGCUAACACAGG
rnacentral:lncRNA from 1 species